AACAGAGCUCUAAAGCUCAGCUCUAGGGUAGAGUGAGAAUUGAAGGAUCUCGUUCGUGAUAUGCAUCUCUCUUUCCUGCCUCCUUGAGUCUGCCACUUCACCUCUUCAUCGGUAUUUCCACCAGUCAACGGACAGAGGAAAGAAAGACCGAAGAAACUCCGGGGAGCCAACAUUGUUAUUUGCUUUAAGGGUGUGGGGAAGGGAGAGGGAAGGAACCAAAAUUGCUUUUGUGGGAAUUUCAGUUUCCUUAGCCAUUGUCCUCUUAUGGAAAAGGUCAUUAGGAAGUAGCUUUAUUUCCAAAUAGUGACAUAUACCCAGGCCGGCAGCAAUCCUUACCAAAAAGUUUCAGGAGAAGAUGGUGAAAUCAGAGCACUAAAUGUUUUCUCCCAGACAACACAGCAGAGAUUGAUGGCUAUUUGAGUAACUUCUCCAUCAUAAUUCAGCCACCCAUAAGCCUUUGGGUAAGAUGGUGUUGUUAUAAAGCCUUUGUCUAUCAAUGACGUUUUAAUAUCCCCUGACACCAUUACAGAGUGAAGAUGUUAUGGGAACAGAAGACAGAGAGCACGCCUGGUCUAAUAGCUUUUCUCUCCCACUGUUAUUCAAACCACCCUAAUGCGGGAACUCUCACAUUUAUAAUUUUUUAGCAAAACAAAGCCUGCUUGCUGGGUGUAGAAACCACGGGUAUGGGUGUGGGAAAAUACACGGAGGAGAUGCCUGAAUGUAACUAUGUUUCCACAGAGGUAGAGCCGUUAGAUGAAUUUGUCUUUAUUGGUGGCCUCGGGGCACUGGGGAUAAUGAAACACUAUGGCAGGGGUUUCUAGCAGGAUUGGGAGAGGAGAUUUCCAAGCGAAUCCAACAUCCUGGCCUUUGGAGCUGGCGAAGAUAAAUGAGUGACUGUUUUUGCCAUAUAAGACUAUUCGUUUGCCAUCGCAAAGUACCACAGACUGGGUGGCUUAACUGACAGAAAUUUAUGUUUUCACAGUUCUGGAGGCCAGAAGUCCAAGGUCAAAGCGUCACCAGAGUAUAAUUAUCCUGAGGCCUCUGUCCUUGGCUUGCAGACUCUCCCUGUGUCUUCACAUUGCCUUCCAUCCGAGUGUAAAGAUGGCAGGCUCCAUGCCCUUGUGUAAAAUGUCUCAUCCUCCUGGAAUAAAAACGAUUGAAAGAAUAAACAAAAACAAGACGGUAACAAAGUUACGGUGCGGUCCUUGGUCAGAAAAUCAAUGGAGGACACCUAGAAAAUGCGUCUGGAGAUUUGGAGAAUGUGAAAACAAAGGACUCAGACUAAUAGCCUUGUCCAGACACAUUCCUGAACCUAGUGCUGUCCAGCUGUCUUUGGAUUCAGAGGGACUUGAGAGACCUACUAACCAAAUGCAAUGUGUGGUCCUUGUGUGGAUCUUGGCUCAGAUGGACCAGCUGCAAAAGACGUUAUGGCAACAAUUGGAGAGAUCUGAAUACGGAUCGGGUACCAGGAAGAUGCAAUGCCACACAUGUGUCCCUUUCCCCAGAACGGAGCUAUGGAUACCAUGUAAUUCCAUGCAUUAUUCCAAUAAAGUCAUCCUGGAACCCCAAAAGCUGAUUUGAAAAUUUGCGUGGAAGAGUCAAGAACCAAGCAUAGUCAAGACACUCUCGACACAGGAAGGGCAAGGUGGUGGGGAGGUCCUGCUCUACUGCCUGUCAAGACUUAUUAAAGAGUCGGAGCCAUUAAGGCACUGUGAUAUUGUCACAGGAGAGACGACUAGACAUGAGGCGCAACGGAAGGGCCGGAAACAGGAACACAAGUCUGUGGAAACCGGAGACGUGCCAUGAGGGGCCAUCGCAGGAGGAGGAAGGGAUAGAUCGGUUGACACAUGGCUCCAUGACCCCACGAAAGACUUGGUGCUCUAUGCUUUCACUGCCACACCUGCAACAGCACUGCACCCAGUCUCGAGGGUUAACCGGCGUCACGUUUAUGCUCUCCUCGAUUGCUAACCCAAGUCCCUUGAUCUGUAGCAGAACUAACUUACUCACUUUGCGAUUUGCAGCCACUGGCCUUGAGGAGCGAAGGACCAAAUGUUCCCAGAAGAUAAGGCCUGACUACAUUCGAAAACAGCUGCCACGGAUGCCAGCAAGUCUGUUCAGGGUCAUGUCCACAUAUGACUAACGACCUGGGCACUUGCUUCUUCUGCACAUAGCUCCCUGCCCUUUCCCUGUGCCUUCCCCUUUGAAACCUUCCAGCUUCCCUUGGAUGAGGAAGGUGGUCUUUGAGACAUCAGUCCAGCAUCUCCCCAGGUUUCCGGCCUCCUGAAUAAAGCAACCCUGCUCUU